CCUACGGGCGGCAGCAGUGGGGAAUAUUGCACAAUGGGGGAAACCCUGAUGCAGCGACGCCGCGUGAGUGAAGAAGUAUUUCGGUAUGUAAAGCUCUAUCAGCAGGGAAGAAAAUGACGGUACCUGAGUAAGAAGCCCCGGCUAACGACGUGCCAGCAGCCGCGGGAAGACGUAGGGGGCAAGCGUUAUCCGGAUUUACUGGGUGUAAAGGGAGCGUAGACGGUGAGGCAAGUCAGAAGUGAAAGCCCGGGGCUCAACUCCGGGACUGCUUUUGAAACUGUGUGACUUGAGUGCAGGAGAGGUAAGCGGACUUCCUGGUGUAGCGGUUAAAUGCGUAGAUAUCAGGAGGAACACCAGUGGCGAAGGCGGCUUACUGGACUGUACCUGACGUUGAGGCUCGAAAGCGUGUGGAGCAAACAGGAUUAGAUACCCCAGUAGUC
rnacentral:rRNA from 1 species